rnacentral:rRNA from 1 species
GACGAACGCUGGCGGCGUGCCUAAUACAUGCAAGUAGAACGCACAGUUUAUACCGUAGCUUGCUACACCAUAGACUGUGAGUUGCGAACGGGUGAGUAACGCGUAGGUAACCUGCCUGGUAGCGGGGGAUAACUAUUGGAAACGGUAGCUAAUACCGCAUAAUAUUGAUUAUUGCAUGAUAAUUGAUUGAAAGAUGCUAUUGCAUCACUACCAGAUGGACCUGCGUUGUAUUAGCUAGUAGGUGAGGUAACGGCUCACCUAGGCGACGAUACAUAGCCGACCUGAGAGGGUGAUCGGCCACACUGGGACUGAGACACGGCCCAGACUCCUACGGGAGGCAGCAGUAGGGAAUCUUCGGCAAUGGACGAAAGUCUGACCGAGCAACGCCGCGUGAGUGAAGAAGGUUUUCGGAUCGUAAAGCUCUGUUGUAAGAGAAGAACGGGUGUGAGAGUGGAAAGUUCACACUGUGACGGUAUCUUACCAGAAAGGGACGGCUAACUACGUG